AUUGAACGCUGGCGGCGUGCUUAACACAUGCAAGUCGAUCGGUAACGCGGGGGCAACCCUGGCGACGAGAGGCGGACGGGUGAGGAACGCUUGGGAAUCUGCCUAUCAGCGGGGGACAACACGGGGAAACUCGUGCUAAUACCGCAUACGCUCUACGGAGGAAAGCCGGGGACCUUCGGGCCUUGCGCUAAUAGAUGAGCCUAAGUCGGAUUAGCUAGUUGGUGGGGUAAGGGCCUACCAAGGCGACGAUCUGUAGCGGGUCUGAGAGGAUGAUCCGCCACACUGGGACUGAGACACGGCCCAGACUCCUACGGGAGGCAGCAGUGGGGAAUAUUGGACAAUGGGGGGAACCCUGAUCCAGCCAUGCCGCGUGUGUGAAGAGGGCCUUUUGGUUGUAAAGCACUUUAAGCGAGGAGGAGGCUACCGAGAUUAAUACUCUUGGAUAGUGGACGUUACACGCAGAAUAAGCACCGGCUAACUCUGUGCCAGCCGCCGCAGUAACAC
rnacentral:rRNA from 1 species